rnacentral:SRP_RNA from 1 species
GCCGGGCGUGGUGGUGGACGCCUGUAGUCCCAGCUACUUGGGAGGCUGAGGCAGGAGAAUUGCUUGAACCCGGGAGGCGGAGGUUGCAGUGAGCCGAGAUUGGGCCACUGCACUCCAGCAUGGGAGACAGAGCGAGAUUCUGUCUCAA